GGCGGCGCUCCACUGGGAGGCUCAGGCUGCGCAGGAGCCCACGGCUGGGGGUGGGUGGAGACUCAGGCAUGGCAGUCUGCAGGUCCCUAGCCCUGCCCCACUGGGAGGCAGCUAAGGCCCCGUGAGAAAUCGAGCGCAGCGCCUGUGGGCCGGAAUUGCUGGGGGACCCGUCGCAUCCUCCGCAGCUGCUGGCCCGGGUGCUAAGCCCCUCUGCCCGGGGCAGCAGGGCCGGCCGGCCGCUCUGAGUGCAGGGCCCGCCAAGCACACGCCCACCCGGAACUCGCGCUGGCCCGCAAGCGCCGCCCGCAGCCCCGUUUCCCGGCCCGUGCCUCUCCCUCCACACCUCCCCGCAAGCGGAGGGAGCCGGCUCCGGCCUCGGCCAAUCCAGAGAAGGGCUCCCACGGUGCAGCGGCGGGCUGAAGGGCUCCUCAAGCACGGCCAGAAUGGGCACCGAGGUCGAGGAGGCACCGAUAGCGAUAGAGGGCUGCCAGGGCUGCCAGCAGGCUGUCACCUCUCAGCAUGAUCAUGACUCACUGCAGCUUCAACUUCCUUGGCGCAAGAGAUCCUUCCACCUCAGCCCCACAAGUAGGCUUGGGACCACAGAUAUAUAGUGUUUAUUUGCUGGAAGAAAGUGGAGAACUCACUUCCAUUACGUUGAAAUCCAAGAGAGAAUCAUAGCACAGUAUUAAACAGAAGUGAUGA
rnacentral:lncRNA from 1 species